AUUUUCUUCCCACCACCGAAUGGUUUUCUUCAACAAAACCCUUUUUCAAACACCCAUUUCCCUAAAUCAAAAGCAUUCCUUUUGUGAUUGCAGCUUCAUCCGAUGUUGGGUGAGAAGUACCCAAAGAAGAAGGAGAAGAGGAACCAUAUGAGUUUGACCAACCUGAAAGGAAGAGAUGGUGGAACUUACAUUGAUGCUAUUGCUUCUGUUGGGUCAGCUGAUAUAGCCGGAGUGUUCAAUGUUGGUGAUCAACUUGUUUGCUAUAUCAUCUUCAACAUAGUUAUUUCAAUUGAAGGCUUAAGGUUUCUAUUUCUUCUCGGAAAAGAUAAAAACUGGCAGUGAUUUCACUGGAAUGCUAAGUACGAGGAAGCAUUAGAGAAAUUUGAGGCAGUUUUGGGAACAAAGCCAGAGCCCGAUGAAGCAGCGGUAGCAAGUUAUAAUACUGCUUGUUGUUACUCUAAGCUAAACCAGAAGCUUCAUGAUUCGAAGAGCAAAAAAGUUACAAACUGUCCAAAGAAGCAAGUAAAAAUAAUUGAAACUAGCAUCUUUUCACCAAGUGAAUAUUGAUGCAAGUCAUUGGAUGAAGAUGAUUUAAUUGGCUGUGGUGGUAACGGAAAGGUUUAUCGAGUCGCAUUGAAGAAAAACGGGAUGAUUGUGGCUGUGAAGCAACUAGAGAAAGGUGGUGGUAUGAGAAUGUUAGCUGCAGAAAUGUAGAUUUUAGAGAAGUGUGCUUAAACUUUAUGCUAGUUUUUUUAAUGGAGGAACCAAUCUUUUAGUUUGAGUAUAUGCCAUAUGGUAAUCUUUUUGAAGCACUUGAUAGAAAUAUAAAAGAUGAGAAGGUUGCUUGGGAUUGGGGUCAGAGGUAUAAAAUUGCAUUGGAAGGUGCAAAAGGGAUUUGCUAUUUUCAUCACGAAUGUUCUCAACCUGUUAUUCAUAGGGAUAUAAAAUCUACCAGCAUCUCGCUUGAUGAAGAUUAUGAGUCAAAAUUUAUUGAUUUUGGUGUUUCUGAAAAAUCUCAGAUGGGUUAUAGCUUUUUUGUUGACACACAUGGUUAUAUUGCUCCAGAUUAGGACAAGAGAAUUAAGGCCAAUAAUCUUAAUGUUCAAAUGCUGAUGGAAUGCUAAGUACGAGGAAGCAGUAAAGAAAUUUGAUUCUGUUUUGGGAACAAAUUCAGAAGUUGAAGAAGCAGCAUUCACAAGUUAUAAUGUUGCUUGUUGAUACUCUAAGCUAAACCAGGUAUGCAUUUCACUAUUUCUUCAUUGGUUUUGGAUCAUUUUGCUGAAUGUAUUUAGUCUGCGUAUAACUUUCUUAAUAGAUUUAAUCCUUUUAUAUAUGUUGUGAGUAAUUCGGUUCAAUAAUCCCUAAAUGCAUUAUAACAUCAACCAAAACAUUUUUGAGUGUUAUAACAUUUAAGCAUGUUCCAUUUGGGAUCAUUUCAGUCCCACGUUGGAUAGAACAUCACAUAAGCAAGUGUUUAUAAAUGUCUUACAUGCUAGUUAGUUCGCCGAGCUGAGUAGCGUUAGCUUGUGACCCAUGUGGGGGCAUUAAGUUGAUGGAACAUGGCUAAGGCUCAACAGGUUGGUCUGGUUGUUGCACCAUGCUGGCCUGCCCACUCCAAGUUGCGAGUUGACCCAUGGGACUUGUGCGAAGGCAUGGGUCAUGUGUCUCUUAGACAGGAGGGUACAGCGUGAGGCUGGUUUCACAGAGCAGCGAAUACUUCCUACUCUUGACAGUGGAGGGAUCACGGGCCGCUGCACUUCUAGCCCACAACACCUGGUGAGCCUAGCCCCUUGAACCAUCUAGUUUU